CAAUAGCGUAUAUUAAAGUUGUUGCAGUUAAAAAGCUCGUAGUUGGAUUUCUGGCAGGAGCGACCGGUCACACACUCUGUGUGUGAACUUGCGUUGUCUCUGGCCAUCCUUGGGAAGAUCCUGUUUGGCAUUAAGUUGUCGGGCAGGGGAUACCCAUCGUUUACUGUGAAAAAAUUAGAGUGUUUAAAGCAGGCUUAUGCCGUUGAAUAUAUUAGCAUGGAAUAAUAAGAUAGGACUUCGGAACUAUUUUGUUGGUUUGCGUUACGAAGUAAUGAUUAAUAGGGACAGUUGGGGGUAUUCGUAUUUCGUUGUCAGAGGUGAAAUUCUUGGAUUUCCGAAAGACGAACUACUGCGAAAGCAUUUACCAAGGAUGCUUUCAUUAA
rnacentral:rRNA from 1 species